rnacentral:rRNA from 1 species
GACGAACGCUGGCGGCGUGCUUAACACAUGCAAGUCGAACGGUGAAGCGCCUUCCUUUUUGGUGGGUGUGGAUGAGUGGCGAACGGGUGAGUAACACGUGAGUAACCUGCCCCCUUCUUCUGGAUAACCGCAUGAAAGUGUGGCUAAUACGGGAUAUUCUGGGUCUGUCGCAUGAUGGGUCUGGGAAAGAUAUUGUUUCGGUGGGGGAUGGGCUCGCGGCCUAUCAGCUUGUUGGUGGGGUGAUGGCCUACCAAGGCGGUGACGGGUAGCCGGCCUGAGAGGGGGGAGGGGCCCACGGGGACUGGGACCCGGCCCAGGCCCCAACGGGGGGGAGCAGUGGGGAAUUUUGCACAAGGGGGGGAGGCCUGAUGCAGCGACGCCGGGGGGGGGGUGGGGGCCUUCGGGUUGGAAACCUCUUUCGCCAGUGAAGCAGGCCUGCCUCGUUUGUGGGUGGGUUGACGGUAGCGGGAUAAGAAGCCCCGGCUAACUACGU